rnacentral:rRNA from 1 species
UACGUGAGGGCGAGCGUUGUCCGGAUUUAUUGGGCGUAAAGAGCGUGUAGGCGGCCAGGUAGGUCUGCUGUGAAAACUCGAGGCUCAACCUCGAGACGUCGGCGGAAACCAUCUGGCUAGAGUCCGGAAGAGGAGACUGGAAUUUACGGUGUAGCGGUGAAAUGCGUAGAUAUCGUAAGGAAGACCAGUGGCGAAGGCGGGUCUCUGGACAGUUCCUGACGCUGAGGCACGAAGGUCAGGGGAGCAAACGGG